ensembl:lncRNA
CGUACUUUGGCCAUCUCAUCUGGCUGGAACGAACCAGCCCUGGUUGCUCACUUCUUGGAGGGUCUUAACUCUGCCCUUAAGGAGGAGAUAUAUGCCCGUGAGAUUCCUGAUCGGUUCGACCAGUUGGUGGAGCUCGCUAUCCGUCUCGAGAAGCGCUUGGAAAUGCGCCGCCACGCUCGAGGUUGGAGAGAGGAACAACCGGUCUCCCCGCCCACCUUCUCUGUCCCAGCAAGAGUCGAGCCGGAGGCUGAGCCCAUCCAACUUGGUGGUAUCCACAUCUCGGCUUCCGAGCGACAGCGAAGAAUUGCCAAUCGUCUCUGCCUUUACUGUGGCUCGAGUACCCACUUUGUUUCCACCUGCGCAGUAAAAGCCAGAGCUCGCCAGUGACCAGGGGAUUGCUGGCGAGCGCGACUACCCUCUCCCCCAGAUCCAGAGUUAAGUCUCGCACUACAUUCCCGGUAACUCUUCGGUGGUCGGGCCGUGCAGCAUCCUGUCUGGCCCUCAUCGACUCCGGGGCGGAGGCCAGUUUCAUCGAUGAGCAGUGGGCACGGGAACAUGGCAUACCACUGGCUGACCUUGAAGACUCCACGCCGGUGUUUGCCCUGGACGGUAGUGUCAUAUCCAAGGUCCGUCUAUCCACCCGGCCGGAGGAGCCCGGGGAUUUGAACGGUGUGCCGGAGGAGCACCUCGAUCUGCGGGCGGUCUUCAGCCGUUCUCGGGCCACUUCCCUCCCUCCUCAUCGACCGUAUGAUUGCUCGAUUGAUCUAAUUCGCGGUACCACUCCCCCUCGCGGUCGAUUGUACUCUUUAUCUGCUCCUGAACGCGAAGCGUUAGAGAAGUACCUCUCGGAAUCUAUUGCCGCGGGCACCAUUGUUCCAUCCUCCUCUCCCGCUGGUGCUGGAUUUUUUUUUUGUUAAAAAGGACGGAUCCCUGCGCCCGUGCAUUGAUUAUCGAGGGCUGAAUGACAUCACGAUUAAGAACAGGUAUCCUCUGCCUCUCAUGUCAUCAGCCUUCGAGCUCUUGCAGGGGGCUAAGGUUUUCACCAAAUUAGAUCUGC